rnacentral:rRNA from 1 species
AACGAACGCUGGCGGCAGGCCUAACACAUGCAAGUCGAGCGCGCCCUUCGGGGUGAGCGGCGGACGGGUGAGUAACGCGUGGGAACGUGCCCUUUUCUACGGAAUAGCCUCGGGAAACUGAGAGUAAUACCGUAUACGCCCUUUGGGGGAAAGAUUUAUCGGAAAAGGAUCGGCCCGCGUUGGAUUAGGUAGUUGGUGGGGUAAUGGCCUACCAAGCCGACGAUCCAUAGCUGGUUUGAGAGGAUGAUCAGCCACACUGGGACUGAGACACGGCCCAGACUCCUACGGGAGGCAGCAGUGGGGAAUCUUAGACAAUAGGGGCAACCCUGAUCUAGCCAUGCCGCGUGAGUGAUGAAGGCCUUAGGGUUGUAAAGCUCUUUCAGCUGGGAAGAUAAUGACGGUACCAGCAGAAGAAGCCCCGGCUAACUCCGUG